rnacentral:lncRNA from 1 species
GGCUGACGUCACUGGUGAACACAGCGUGAGCGCGCAUUUUCUAAUGGCUGCUGAUCACUAUUCCAGAAAGGUCAAAGCAAGGCCAACCAGGAUGAGAUGAAAAUGUGUAUCAGGAAUUCAACCAGAUAGUUAACAAAAAUUAUAUUGGUCUCUUGAUCAUCACUGCCCACAACUGAUUCAGAUCUUCAGAUGUUCAGGUCACAGAGAGGUCUCACUGGACAGAUUUUUAUCUACUACAAGAUGUCAAGGCCUCUGACCUCACUGACAUGCGAGGUGUUUUCAUUUGAGUGCUUCCAGUAGUUUGAAGCAGUUCUUCAAAGCAUGUUUUGCUUCAGAUGAUGGAGACUCAAAUCAACAUAUGCUCGUUGGAAUUCUUAACCGAGAAAAUGACGAUGUGGCUCUGCAACCCCUGUCCUUCCACCUCCACCCAUCCCCUGUGGGAAUCAUCUUGGAGGGAAAUGUUGUAAUGGACAAUAUAGACAAUAUACCCCAGGCCAUGUGUCUUUUUGGAUCAACCUAUGCACUGCACCUAGGCUACACAAAAUGCAUGGACAAUACCCUUCUUUUUAUUCAACAAGUUUGGGUAAGAUUCUGGCGUGUCAUGUAAACUGGUACAAAAAAGGCAUGUUCCUUCAGGCUUGCUGUCCUAACUGUGAGUUAAAAAAACUUAAAACUAUGCCUUAGUGUUUGGCAAGUGUAAAUAUUCGAUAAUACUACAAUGUAAUAAUGUCUUGUGGUUGUUUAUUAUUUGGAUAUGUUUGUAAAAAUUUAUUGAAAUAUUUUAAACAAGUGUUUUAAUAAGAUUUAUAACAAUAAAUAUCGACAAAUUGUUAUACAAGGCAUUUUCUUGUUUUGUCACUUGUUUCGGAGUGAUAUUUCUAAAUGGUUUUAAGUAAAGUAAAUUAUUAUU